rnacentral:SRP_RNA from 1 species
GCCAGGUGUGGUGGUGCACACCUGUAAUCCCAGCUACUAGGGAGGCUGAGGCAGAAGAAUCGCUUGAACCCAGGAGAAGGAGGUUGCAGUGAGCCGAGAUUGCUGAACUGCACUCCAGCCUGGGUGACACAGCGAGACUCCGUCUCAA